UACGUAGGAGGCAAGCGUUGUCCGGAAUUACUGGGCGUAAGGCGCGUGUAGGUGGUGGGACAAGUCUGCUGUGAAAGCGCCUGGCUUAACCGGGCGAGGUCGGCGGAAACUGUUCGACUCGAGGACGGUAGAGGGGGGUGGAAUUCCCGGUGUAGUGGUGAAAUGCGUAGAGAUGUGGAGGAACACCAGUGGCGAAGGCGGCUUUCUGGUCUGUAACUGACGCUGAGGCGCGAAAGCUAGGGGAGCAAACAGG
rnacentral:rRNA from 1 species